rnacentral:lncRNA from 1 species
AAACGAAAGUUGUAGCCCUUGAAGAUACAAAGAGAAUGGUACCUUGCACAACACCUAGUUCGCCGUGGUUUGGCCGGAAACUGCCUCGAAAGCCUCGGAGGUCGCCGGAAACUGGGUAUUUUUCAAAUGAGUAUAACUUCUUCAAUACUCAACGAAAUUGAGUGAAACAAAAAGGAAAGUUGUAGUACUUGACGAGACGAAGAGAUGGAUACCUACCUCGACUCCUAACUCGCCGGGGAUUCGCCGGAAAAAUCCUCGAAAGCUCCGGCCAAACUUUGAACUUGUCGAUCUCCGUGUUCUUACGUCCAAAAACUUCCAACGAAGCACUCCGAGCUUCCUUGGGACCUCACUAAGCUCGCUGUGAUCUUGUUUUAGCCUAAAUCGUAACCAUUUAAAAGAUCAUGAACAGUGCUCUUCCACGGGGAGUUUAGAAUCUAGGUUUUCCGAAGUAAAACUUACCUGAAAUUGGUGUCUACGUGAUCGUUGAGGUUCCAGGAGUUCAAUGGUGGUCUUAACUCCGUCGUUGGUAUAGAAGUUUAGUGUGGUUUUGGAGCUUGUCCGUGUGAGUUCGAAGGAGAGGGAGAGAGAACUGAGAGUUGCGUGAGGGAGGAGAGAGAGAGGGACAAGGUACGGGAAUUGGGGAAGGUUUUGAGGGAUGUGGGGAUCCCACGUGUCCAACUCAAUCCAAAUUGUUAAAUUUUCACCCCUUAGUCCCGUUUAAGGGCAUUUUCGUCUUUUCACGUCCUCGGAAUUAAAAUUCCGGGACGGGCUGUGACAAUCUUCCCUCCUUAUAGAAUUUCGUCCCCGAAAUUCCAGCAACCAACUAAAUCAACCAUACUCCAACAAUAGCUUCGGGUAAAUCUGUCUCAUCCGAUUCUCUUUCUCCCACAUAAUUUUCUACUGAAUGAUUCAUUCACAAAGCUUUUACUACUUACUCUGUCUUAAUUCUCAGGACCUUCUUUUUCCAAUCCAAAGUCGUCAUUGGUUCCUUAUCAAGUCGAAUCCAAUUUAAUUCUCAAUAGUUGCACCAGAAUCUCUUGUGACGAAUCUGCCACCUAGUGACAACGUAUCGAACCCAAAAUACAUUAAGUACCUUAGCCAACUCUGAAGACAUCACCACUUGUAUGCAACUUUAUUGAUUCCUUUAGUGAUAAAAAAAUGGUCUGAUGUGUCUAAAUCUUAUUUUGUCUCCUUUCCAACCCGAAUUAUACUUUUCUAUGGUGAACACUUCGAAAAUAUAAAACCAUUUGUCUUAUACACUCGAUUAGUGGCAUAUCCCUCUGUUAAUCUCUUUUGCCAUUCCUGGUUACUUUCAAGUUAACUUAAUCACCUGAAUACUUUGAGGAGACUCAUCCAUAGUCUCAGGGCCUACAAAAACUCUUUCGUGAUCAAAUCUUUUUCUAUUCAGAAGCAUUUCAUUCACACGACACGCUUCAGGGACCCUAUGGCGUUAUUUCGGAAACUGCGCACCCAACAUACUUAAGAAACUCAGCAGUUCCGUAAUCCAAUUCUCUUUUCCAUAAAACAAAUAAGUACUGUUACUCAACACUGGAGUAAAUGUACUAACUUGGUACAUUGACCAAUUAUCACUUCAAAUUCGAUCAUAACCAUCCUAUGUACAAGGAAACUUGUACACAUAAUCCAAAGUAAUAUCUUUCCAUUUCCACUGCGAAACAGAAAAUAGUUAUCCCAAUCCAAAGGUUUAUCUUUUUCUGCCUCAAUCUGCUGACCAAAUAAAACUGUCGAAUGGUAUGAUAAAUCUUAUUACUUUUGGAAUAUUACAGAAGUUGAACAGUGAACUUCGUCCAAUUUUUGCUUGCUUCAAAUCCUCAGCAUUAGGCACAUACUUUUUGUUUUCUUGUAUCCACAUACCAUUUGAUUCACGAAUCAUGUACUCAUUCUUUUUCCCUUCUUUCUCUGCCUUGGUUAAUUCUUAAAUUUCCUCGUCAAACAUUUAAGUUUCGAGUACGACCUUACCAAACAGGCCUAACUUGAAAUUUAACAAAUAUAACUUCUUCUCGAUCUUCCAUUCUUAAUUUUUCUUCCGUUGGUUUUCAAUCCACAAGAUGAUACUCUUGGCAAACGUGCCAGACAUUAAUCUUACUGUAGUCUUCUCACCAAGUGCUUCAGCUAGAACAAACUUUACGAUCACCCUGAUCGUACAAUCAUGUUCAUUAAGCAAUACAAUUCACUUUCGCUGCCUCAUAUCAAAAUCCUUCCAAGUAAUGGAUAUUGAAGACUUUUUGGAUUCGUAAAAAAAAUCUUGCAUUCUUACUAAAAUAUAAUGUCUCCAUAACUUCACAGCAAGGAUGGUAAUCGUGACUUCCAAAUCACCAGUAGGGUAAUUCAUCUUAUGAGGUUCCAUUUGUCGUGAAACGUAUGCAAUCACCCUAACAUUUGCAUUAAUACAUAUCCAAGAACAUUUAAUGUAACAUCACCAUAUACCGAUAAUUAUCGCUAUCUUCUGGGAAUAUUAAAAUACGUGCAUGAGUGAGGAAAUACUUCAGUUGUUGAAUCCUUUGCUCACAAUUUCCUUCCCACUCAUACAUAACCUCUUUUCUCAACAGUCUCGUCAAUGACAAAGCAAUGACUGAAAAAUCUUUCACAACCAUCCAAGAUAGCCUGGUAAGUUAAGAAAUUCCAAAUCUCAAUUACGACUCGUGGUUGUUCCAAUUCCUCAAUUUCUACUAUCUUUUAAGAAUUCAUUUGAAUACCUUAAGCAGAUAUACAAAUCUCAGAAUGCCACCUGAUUCAUCUAACUUUAGCAUUUGCUACUUAGCAUACAACCAACGUUCUCUCAAUCUUUGCUUCACCAACUUAAUAUGUUUACAUGCUUUGCUCUGGCUCAGAAUAUGCCAGAAUAUCUUCAAUGAAAAUGAUAUCAAGGCAUUAUUGGAAUACUUCAUCCAUCAACUCAUAAAACAGCAUGAGUAUCCAUAUAGCAUCACCAAACUUCAUCAAGACUAUAACGAGUCCAGAAAAACAAUCUUAGGAACAACGUUACUCAUAAUCUUCAAUUGAUAAUAAACAGACCUCAAGUCAAUCUUUGAAAAUAUACAAGCACCUUUGAACUGAUCAAAGGAGCGUCAAUACACCACAAUGGAUAACGGUUCUCAUUCGUUACCCGAUUCCAUUAUCUAUAAUCAAUGAACAAUCUCUAAGUCCAUUUCCUUUCUCACCAACAAACUGGUGCUCCUCAACAGUGUUGUACUAUGUUGAAUAAAACUUUUAUCAACCAAUUCUCUCAACUGAAUUUCCAAUUCCCUUAACUCAUCAUGAACCAAUCUUUAACAUAAAUUUAUACCCGGCAACAAAUCAAUAAUGAACCUCAUAUCUCUGCCUGAAGACAAUCCAGGUAUACUUUCAGGGAAGACAUCAAGAAAAGUCUAACCCCUUUUUCAUUUUUCACACUUCUCCGAGCAACAUCCUUUAGUACCACAUGAACUAAGUAUUUUUUUUUGACAUCCUUUCGAAAACAAUCUCUUUGCUCUCACAGCAUAAAUAACGGCCUGACUCAAUCCACUUUGCAUACUUACAAAAAUAAUCUCUGGUCAUCCAGAUCGAUGGAAAGUACUGGUUUCCCGUAACAUUCCAUCUAGUCACAACUAUAAACAAUCACUCUAAUGGAAUAAAAUUAAUUGACCCAAUACAUACUUUAUCAUUACUGAACAUUCUAAAUAAGUACAACACUAACAUAAAAUAAUUUACCGGGUUGCUUGCUUAACGAAUCCACGAAUAAGUUAUUAAUAUUACGGUCUGCAGCCCGCAAUACUGAUAAAUCAUUGUUGUCUCGAUAAGUAAGAAACCACUCUCAAAGAUAUAACAUUACUAUUUUGUCACUCAAUGAAAAAUACUUACACUCGUCUCAACUACAUUUAUUUACUACUCUCAAGGUAAUAACAUACAUAAUAAGAAAUAUAUCAGCCGAAGUCAACUAGAAUGACCAAUACGACUGAUUCAACUCUUAUCUCAAUAAUACGUCGGCCGGAUCCACUCCGCGUGGUCGGUACGGCCGAGCCUAUAACUCACCAAUUUCUCAUGUGUCAAUCGAAUCCACUUCUCAUGGUCUGUACGGCUGAACAUAUAACUCAUCAAAUCUCUCCGUACUCACGGUCAAUCCGACCAAACUACUAAAUCCAUAACUCUGCUGAAUCAACACUAUGAUAUCAUGGAAAAUUGUUGAGUACAACUGAUUCUAGGGACGAUUCACAAUUCUGUGUCCCCUCUGUUCACAUAAACACAUUCAUUAAUUUCACAUUUCCCAAAGUGUUAAUUUUUGUACCUGCUGCACAAGGUACAUUUCCUUUACUCGAGACACCUUGUCUCAAAUAUCUGGGAUUACCAGUAUAUCCAUCACUUUUACUCUGACCAGCGACAAUAAAACCUCAGCUGGAAGAAUUAAUUCUAGCUUCACUUCUUUUUAAACUCUGAAUCCUUCGAUAUUCUUGAUAUGACGAAUCAUUAACUUUAUCGUCUUCUUUUGAUUCCCAUUCAUUUCUUAUUCUUCUUUAUUCUCAUUGAUCAUGUUCUCAGAGUCCUCAAGGCUCAACAACAUCUUGUAUACUCCUGGUAAGAAGUACAAUGGAUAGUGGUCACCCAAAAUACCACUUCCCUUUUUGCCACCCAGCUUAAAACAAUAUAACACCUCCACCAAAUUAACAACAAUAUCUGGAUGGAACGAGGCAAGUCUGAAAACUUUCUAUAAUAUUCAUUUAUCGUCAACUUCCUUAAUUCACAUUUGCAAACUCUUGCUUACUACCAUCGAUAAAUGCCGGAGGGAUAAACUUUUCCUUAAACAAUUUUAAAUCGGCUGUUCCUCCGAUGACAACAAAUCAUACUCCUGUUUCCACCAGGAUACAAAUUCAUACCCAAAACCAGGUAGUCGUCUCGACCCCCCUGUCAGAAGGAAGAUUCCUUUGACUUGCAUAAUCUGAAACAUCUUUUCCAAAUGGUUAAACCGUUACUUCGCUCCCUCAGGUUCAUCAUUUCAUAAGGUGAUUCAAAUUCGACUCAUAACCCGUCUUAAAAUGUCCAUUUUUAUAAUAUACUGAAUCACCAUAAUAAUAGUUUUCCCUAAACCGCUAUAUUAGGGAGACUAAAUUCCUCUAACUAAGUGGCUUGCUACGAGGCGGUGUAGUUCUGACAGAAUUCACUAGAACUUCUCAAGAUGUCCAAGAUUGCAACCAUGCUCUGAUACCAACUGACACACCCCGUCCCGAAGGAGGGCAUGCUGGCCGUCACGUGAGAGUGACGUAACCAUUUGCACAGUACGGAAGCUUUAAGAUACAAUUUAUAAGUUGAUACACCCGAAGGUGAGUCCUAAUUUUGUCCAAUCUGUCAGAACACCGUCGAAUUCCUCGUAGUCACCACACCUUUGUGAUUCCUGAACCUGGAGGGGCGCAAAACCAAAAUUGAGUGGGUCAGUAAAACAAUUCUUUUCCAAAUCCAAACAUUUCUCAAAACGUUGUAACCCCUCUCCGUAAAACCUGUAUACUUUCCCCAGAAAUGUAAAAUAUAAAUAUACAUAUAUAUUCUCAAUACUUUAAUUCAUUAACUCAACAUUUUUUCUUUAUCAAUCAUGCCAUGCCAUGUCUAAUUCAACAGUUAAGUAUGGAUGCAUCAACAAUAAUCAUAUCAGGUGCAAGAAAGUAAUCAACCGGAGGCCCUCUAAUAGCCCUGUACGGUUGAACCUAGAGCUCAAAAUCUAUCACUAUCACUCUACCGGAGUCACCUCUGUGACCCGUCCGGCCUUCUGCACACAAGUUACGCUCUAGUGCUUUCUCAUCAAUCAUCUGUGCACAUAAUCUAAGGUCACCCACCAGUCGAAAUCUCACUAACACUCUUCGACUGGCCCGUCGCAACCCACUCCGCGUGGACUGUACGACCAGCAUCUACUUGGAUCCAAGGCGAGCGUGCGAUGCGGUGAAUACUAUAAGCACUAAACCAUGGUGCAGGAUUUGAGCUCAAUAUAUAUCAACAUCAUCAUAACAGUAAUUAAAUACUCACCUGAUACUCACCUGUGCGUCCGCCGCACCAUUCAUUCAUAUGCAUCAUAUCUCAAUUCAUACUUUUCAUAUCAUUUCAUGCAUGGCAAUUCGAUUCACAUUUCUAUAUACUUUUCAUAUACUUUUCAUGCAUGACAUUUCAACUAAUAUAUCUCAUAUACUUUUAUACAUUUUCAUUAAAAAGCAUAAUUUCAUGCAUUUUCAAUUUCUAGGAAACGGCAAGUAUAUAUGUAUACGGAAAACAAAACUGCCCACUCACCUGGAGUUCGUCCAACAACUCCCUAGCACCACACAUCAAGGCGUCACGACGAUCGCCGCCUAGAAUAGUAAUCAAAUCCAACCUCAGAAUUCAUAUCGAUAGAAUAUAACUUAUAUAAAAUACGUCACUACGUAGAUCGAUCCGGAAGAUCUGCCACUCAGAUUUUAAAUCCAUAACUUCCAGAGGUCCACAAUAUAUCUCUAGGAUAACAUCCUAAAAUUUCAUUACCAUCCAACGGUCGGAUCUCCGUCAAUUUCCAAAACUAAGUGACGGUUAACAUUCUAUAUUAUGGACUUACAACUCCAAUUUCGGAAGAUCCGCAAAUCGGAUUCCCAAUCUGUAAGUUCCUAUAAUCCUCAAAUAUUACGUAUUACAACGUAUCAAAGUUUGGUGAUGAUCCAACGGUCGGAUCAUCAAUUCAUAUUUUCACUUAAAUGCAAAAACUAUAAAACGUUAUUUGAACACCUAACCAACAAUCCUUAAUAACUUUCUCAUACGGUGCUCAAUUGGGUAUACGAAUAUACCACAGUGAUCUACUCGACGUCACGGACGUCGACAUAUUUUUCAAAUAAUUUUUUACUGUAGCACGCGCCCCCACGCGCCAAGGAAGGCACGGACCUACGCGCCCCCACGCGCACCUUCUUCUUCCUUGGGUCGCCGGACUGGUUUUUCCGGCGGCCGUUUUUCAAAUUGCCAUAACUUUGUCAUUUCUCAACGAAAUCAAGUGAUUCCAAAACGAAAGUUGUAGCCCUUGAAGAUACAAAGAGAAUGGUACCUUGCACAACACCUAGUUCGCCGUGGUUUGGCCGGAAACUGCCUCGAAAGCCUCGGAGGUCGCCGGAAACUGGGUAUUUUUCAAAUGAGUAUAACUUCUUCAAUACUCAACGAAAUUGAGUGAAACAAAAAGGAAAGUUGUAGUACUUGACGAGACGAAGAGAUGGAUACCUACCUCGACUCCUAACUCGCCGGGGAUUCGCCGGAAAAAUCCUCGAAAGCUCCGGCCAAACUUUGAACUUGUCGAUCUCCGUGUUCUUACGUCCAAAAACUUCCAACGAAGCACUCCGAGCUUCCUUGGGACCUCACUAAGCUCGCUGUGAUCUUGUUUUAGCCUAAAUCGUAACCAUUUAAAAGAUCAUGAACAGUGCUCUUCCACGGGGAGUUUAGAAUCUAGGUUUUCCGAAGUAAAACUUACCUGAAAUUGGUGUCUACGUGAUCGUUGAGGUUCCAGGAGUUCAAUGGUGGUCUUAACUCCGUCGUUGGUAUAGAAGUUUAGGGUGGUUUUGGAGCUUGUCCGUGUGAGUUCGAAGGAGAGGGAGAGAGAACUGAGAGUUUCGUGAGGGAGGAGAGAGAGAGGGACAAG